GCGGGUAUAGUUUAGUGGUAAAAG
rnacentral:tRNA from 9 species